rnacentral:rRNA from 1 species
UCGGAUUAUUGGGCGUAAGCGCGCGUAGGCGGUUUUUUAAGUCUGAUGUGAAAGCCCACGGCUCAACCGUGGAGGGUCAUUGGAAACUGGAAAACUUGAGUGCAGAAGAGGAAAGUGGAAUUCCAUGUGUAGCGGUGAAAUGCGCAGAGAUAUGGAGGAACACCAGUGGCGAAGGCGACUUUCUGGUCUGUAACUGACGCUGAUGUGCGAAAGCGUGGGGAUCAAACAGGAUUAGAUACC